rnacentral:lncRNA from 1 species
CAAGGAGGGGUGAGUAAGUUUUGUGCCCCAGGCACCUCUCUUGCCCCAGACCCAGCCCUGCUCUUCUGUCUGAAGCAAGUAGAGCAAUUAGAAAAAGAGAAACCAGGCGUGGAGAACAGUCAGAGAUGAUCCAGAGCGAGGGUUGCUGGGUUUUCUGGAACACUGAUGGAUGAACAGAAAGGAAGUAUUUUGUAAUGGAAGUGCAUCUCCCUGCAGUGAGGGGGAACUGAAUCUGUGUUACCCAGAAACCUCCUGGUUAGCAUUUGCACUUCAAAGAAAAAGAGCCCUGAGGCACCCAGAAAAGACAGCAGGCUGUGCCUAAGUACAGAGGACCCAAGGUUUGUGCACCCAGUUGGCUUGCCUGCUGAGUGUGAAGCUCUCCGGGACCCAGGGCACUGCGGAAGACAGGAAGGGAUCUGGAGUGAGGUGAGCAGGUCAGGGAGACAGCAUAUGCAGGGCAAGUCAGCUCUCACCCCAUGGGCUGCUCAGAACCUUCCUGUCAAACAGCCUCGUAAAAACAGCCUGCCUUGGGCAGCAGGGUCACCCAAUUGAAUACUUUUAUUAGGAAUAACUUAUAUGAUAGUCAUUGUACAGUUGUUUUUUUGAAGCCGUUCAUAGCUGGAUCCCACACAUCCAGGCAGGGAUGUGUGGGCAGAGCAGUGACAGUGCCUAAACUCCUUGGCACUCGCCAGUCACUGUUCUAAGUUUUGAUCACAUAUUUCCUAUGAAAUCCUCUCCAAAACCUUCCGAGGUUGGGACUAGCAUUCCCAUUUUACAGGUAGAUAAUGCUGAGGCCCAGAGCUUGAGUUCCUUUUCCAGAUCCCUGGAGCAGAGUGGGUGGCGGGUCAGGGUGAGCCUAGCCGGGGUCUCUGCAGUGCACGCUCUAGGCUACCUUUGGGCCCUUUUGAAGCAGCUCUUGGGUUUGUUAUGGGUGUUAAGAUUUUUUCUUUUUUCUUUGUGCUUUACUUCAUUUCUUAAGAAGCACAUAUUUGUAAAACCCAUGGAGUAGUGACUUGGAAAGGAGCUGGACAGAGGCAGCAGUCCACCCACAGGUGGGGUAUGGAGACCGCCCGCUUCCUUCCUAUUCCAUGAUGCUGUGGCUCUGGGCUGUUGGCUGUCCUCAGUUGCGCUUGGGAUUCCUGCCAGCCAGCAGCUGCUGGAGUUAGAGGAUUCUGCUCUCCAAGAAUUUGCAGCUUGUGUCUGAUUACCGUACCGUCUGGCAAAAAAAUACGUAUGAUGUUUUUACAUUUUUAAAAUCAAAAUCCUGAUGUUUUUUUGUUCGUAUGGUUGUUUGUUUCAACCUCUUAACUCUUGAUUUUUUCUGUUAAGUGAUUUUACGUCUCUUAGCUGUGCAGAAUGACAAUUAAUGGGAAGGCUGUCUUCCCCAUAGUGAGACCUUGGUAAGGGCAGACCUGACUGGUAGAUUGUAGAUUGGGUGUGCUCGUUUUUAUAUUUCAUUUUAGGAGCCUCACAGUCUACUCAGAGAAAAAUAAAAGAAGGCAAAAUGAGUCCUCCCCAUUUCCAUGCAAGCCAGAACAGUUGGUUGUGUGGGAGCCUCGUGGUGCCCAGCGGAGGACGGCCAGGACCAGCUCCAGCAGCUGGGGUGCAGUGCGGGGCGCAGGGCGUCCAGGUCCAGCUGGUGCAGGUGAGAGCUGGCCAGUCACACAGGCCAGCUGUAGGCGGGGUGGGAGGGUCACGCAGGUCUGAGCAGUGUGCGGCAUGCUGCAUCCCCUGCCCAUCGCAGCACCCCCUGCCUGCCUGCCCCUCGUGCAUCCUCCCCUGUAGACUGCCCCAAGUCCUGUCUCCUCACAGCCCAGCUCCUCCCUUUUUCCCAGCCUGUCCUGCAUCUGCUCAAGCUCUGAGUGUUGCUGGGACCGUGCAUCCACUUCCUGAACCUGUCUGUGCACAGCCCUGCGUCUAGCCCCAGAGUAGCCCGCCUCCCUGCCCGAGGCCCCCAGGGCUGUUUUGCAGCAGGAUGAGAUCUGUUUGAGGCCACCCUGCCCUUCUUCUGCAGGGCUGGGGCAAAAGGGCUCCGCAGGCCGUCUCAGCCACCCCAUUUCUAGGGCGGCCUGCUUGUGGCGCACUAGCAGCCUUUCUAUGCUGAAGGUGGUGGGGGUCUUUUCAGUGUUUUUCUAUUUUCUUUCCUACGAAACAGAGCCCCUCCAGGGCAGGCCCAGGCCCCUCCCAGCCUGUCCGGGCCACAGAUACCUGCAGCUGUGGCCAGUUUCCAGGAGGUCUUUGAGCACACCUGCUUCAGCAGCCCUGAGCACACCUGCAUCUUCAGUCUCAGUUUGAGGGGCUGGAAUGGGGAGGGAAGAUGAUUUGGAAGGAUUUGGGGAGAGAAGAGAUAUACAAGCCGGGGCUGUCUGGGUUUGGCCCAGGUGUGUGCCCCUCUUCACCACUCCACUUUGUAGAUUCCCUGUGGCAGGGGAUGCGGUUGCAGGCCCCACGGAAGUGCGGAGGGUGGAGGUGACGCUGGCUCUGAGUUGGGAAACAGGCACGUUUGUGGGUUCAGAGUCCUGGGAGAGUCUCGCCAAGGAAACAGGACCAGGCCUGGGGCUCAGAGAGGCAAGAGGAGGGGCAGCCUGGGCAGAGGUGGGCUGGGAAGGGGGCAGGGAAGAGGCUGCGGGCAGCUGGGGGUGGCCCUGUGCUGGUUGGAAGCUAGCGGUGAGCGUCAGAUGGGGGCUGAAGCUUGUCUUAGAGAGGGGCAGGAGCACUGGUCCUUUGUUUCCAGCUUCUGAAGAGGUAAGAACUCCCCAGGAGCAGGGGCAGGGGGAGGGGGAGGACCAUCCAAGGAAACACUGCCUCAGCUGGCAGGGCAGAGGUACAGAGUCAGGACCAGAGGCUUGGCAAUAGGGAGACGGUAGGGAAGCUGGUGCCACCGGCAGAACAGGAGCAAGUAGGGGGUAUACUUUUAAGAGAUGCCUGAUUAAACCUGGGUUUGAGUUCUUUUUCUGUCCCUUACCAGCUAGCGUAGUCUUGGUUACUUAAGCACUCCGGGCCUCAGUUUUGUCAUCUAUGAAAUGGGAACAGUAGUGCAGACCUUGACACACAGGAGCUUCUCAAACAGAAGGAAUGAGAGGUGCAGAGCAGCAGCACCAGGAGCUCCGCUUCGGGGUGUGAAUGGCCAUGGGCGGACAUGCAGGUGCAGGACAGGCGAAGUGUGGGACAGAUGAAGUUUCUAGCCUGGACUGUGAGGGGCCUGGCAGCCUCCCCUCUCAGGAGCCCCUCUACCUGCCCUGGUCCUUCCAGCUGGCCCGUAGGCAAGCUGGGGCAUGCAGGGAAGGCCCUCUGUGGGGCCCGAGGAUUUGCUGGAGAGCACUCUGGGUACACAAGGUUGGUGGGGGUACAGGGCGUGCCAGGGCACCUGCAAGGAGUUGAGGAGCGUGCCUUAGGAGGGAAAUCAGUAUUUGGGCUGACUGAGGGGAGGAGCUGGAGAGCAGAAGGUUCCAGGCCCAGCAAAAGCUGCUGGGAUCAAGGUGACAGAAUGAGAACCAGGUGGGAACAGGUAGUACCCAGCCCCCAUAAACAAUUCCUGCUGGGUCCUCGGGCCUCCCUUGGAAUACAGGGGGUGGGCUGGUUCUGCCACGCAUUGCAGCUGGAGGAGACUUCUCAGGUGAGACGAGGACCUUUGCUGCACUCUCACAGACAUGUGACAGGCCUUUCUGUGUUGCCUUCCCAGGAUGACCCCUCCGGCGAAGGUGUCCUGCCCUCGGCCCGCGGCCCAGCCACCUUCCUCCCCUUCCUCACUGUGGACCUGCCCGUCUACGUCCUCCAGGAGGUGCUCCCCUCAUCUGGAGGCCCUGCUGGACCGGAGGCCACCCAGUUCCCAGGAAGCACUAUCAACCUGCAGGAUCUGCAGUGACGGCAGCCUCGGCCUGGGCAGGCCCAAGGCCACGGUCUAGGACACACCUUCCCUGAGACUCAUGACAUGAGCCUGGGGAGACCUCAUUUGGUUUCCGUUCAGAAGACCAGCGUAGCCCUUUUGAGACUUUUGGGUACAUUUAUCAAAAAUGUUUUCCUUUUGUUUUACCAGGAAUGAGUUCGGGCUAUACUCUUUGAAACUGCCUUUGUGAGCAAAGUGCUUUGGCAAGGCAAGGGUCUCCCUCAGCAGGGCUAGGUGCACUACAGCCUCUUUCCCCGUGUCCCGUUGGAUCUGAGCUGUGUAGCACUUGUUGCAUUACAAAGAAAAAGACUUCUGCAGGAAAUAGGGUAGAGAACAGGCUGUCUAGUCAGAUGCAGCUUGAUCUGUGGCAAAACCAAGUGUGGUCUUUCAGCUUCAGUGUGUUAGCAUCCCAGCACCUGGGAUGGGGUUUGUGGGCAAGUUGAUUUUGCCACACUGUAGGGCCCAGGUGGUCCCAUUGCCACCGUGAAGCCAAAUUCUAGCCCAAGUCUGGUAGAGCAGUCGGGCAGCUAGUUUUCGGGGGAGGAUGAUGUGGUGGGACAGAGGACCUCAGUGGCCUAUUACGGAGCCCUCUUCCCAGACUAAAUUCAUAGCCGAGAGCUCGGGGGGAUGGUAGAGUUAAAAUUUAAAAUAAUUUUCUAAAUUCUGUAUUUGGAUAUUAGUGUUUAAGUGGUAAUUUGGCAACAGUUUAUAAAGUGAUGUUCUGAAUACCAUAAAUUAUGUGUAGGACUGUGA